GGCAGCGUAACAUCUUGGCUUUGGUGCUGCACAAAGAUUCCUCCAGAGCAGUUUCUUCACUUUGACGCACCGCGAUACAGGCAUCAAAAACAAGUGUAGUGCACCCUCUAGUUUGGACCUUGCUUCCGCCACCCAUACGCAGGACGCACCGCAGUAUAGGCAUCGAAAGAAGGCC